CUGUAGAGGAAAUCCCCCUCAAUUCUGUUUGAGAAUUUCAAGGCUUCCUGAAGACUGAGAUUAACUGCAGUAUCAGAUUUGGCCUCUAGAGAAAGAUGCUACACAAAUUGAACUCGGUAGAAAGUCAGAACGCAACCAGCCCUUUGAGGAAGAGUUUUUGCUUUACCUGCUGGGUAAACUCACUCACCGCUCUGUCAGAGUGUCCACGUGGCUGAACUGUUUCCAGAGAAGAGCCUCCUGCCUCCCCCCAGGUCAGACAUGAAGCCCAUCGUCCUCUCAGUGCUUGUGCUAAUGUUCACACUCAGAGGAGCACGAGCCCAGACAGUGACUCAGCCUGAGGACCGCAUCUCUGUCAUUGAAGGGGCCCCAGUGCAGGUGAAGUGCAACUACUCGUAUUCAUUGAGUCCUGUGCUCUUCUGGUACGUCCAGUACCCCAAUCAAGGUCCUCAGUUAUUCCUGACACACACCUCAAGAAAGAGCAUCAAAGGUUUCACAGCCAACCUUAACAAGGGUGAGAAGUCCUUCCAUCUGAAGAAGCUAUCAGCUCAAAAGGAAGACUCAGCCAUGUAUUACUGUGCUCUGAGUGACACAGUGACUGGUUUUACAAGGAAGCAGAGCACAAACCCUUUGGGAGUUACAGAAAAUAUUUCUUUGUCAGUUCUCUACUUGGCCGCAGUGGGCGCUCAUUCUCUAGAGACUGAUGCUGAGUUUACCUGUUAG